rnacentral:rRNA from 1 species
CACGUAGGGGGCGAGCGUUGUCCGGAUUCAUUGGGCGUAAAGAGCUCGUAGGCGGCUCAGUAAGUCGGGUGUGAAACCCUCAGGCUCAACCUGGGGACGCCACUCGAUACUGCUGUGGCUAGAGUCCAGUAGGGGAGUGUGGAAUUCCCGGUGUAGCGGUGAAAUGCGUAGAUAUCUGGAGGAACACCGGUGGCGAAGGCGGCAUCCUGGACCGGCAUUGACGCUGAGGCGCGAAAGCUAGGGGAGCAAACGGG